rnacentral:rRNA from 1 species
CAUGCCGUAAACGUUGUGCACUAGGUGUAGGAGGUAUCGACCCCUUCUGUGCCGCAGCUAACGCAUUAAGUGCACCGCCUGGGGAGUACGGUCGCAAGACUGAAACUCAAAGGAAUUGACGGGGGCCCGCACAAGCGGUGGAGCAUGUGGUUUAAUUCGAGGCAACGCGAAGAACCUUACCCAGGCUUGACAUCCCGCGCUACCCUGUGAAAGCAGGGGUUCCUUUCGGGGACGCGGAGACAGGUGU